rnacentral:lncRNA from 1 species
AAAGUGCUUAAGGGCAUUCUAAGCAUCGAAGCACCUAAGAGCAAGUAUGGAAUAAUUGUUUAUACGGGGAAGUGAAAGUAACUCAGAACGAGUGGCAAGCUUUAUAAGUUAACUUCACAUUUAAGAUGUUCUAGAGAGCUUGACUUGGUAGCUCAGAUAUGGAGAUAGUUAAGAGGACUUCGUCUUAACCUUUUCUUGAAUCACAUAU